rnacentral:rRNA from 1 species
CCUACGGGCGACAGCAGUGGGGGAUAUUGGACAAUGGGGGAAACCCUGAUCCAGCGACGCCGCGUGAGUGAAGAAGUAUUUCGGUAUGUAAAGCUCUAUCAGCAGGGAAGAAAGAAAUGACGGUACCUGAGUAAGAAGCCCCGGCUAACUACGUGCCAGCAGCCGCGGGAAUACGUAGGGGGCAAGCGUUAUCCGGAAUUACUGGGUGUAAAGGGAGCGUAGACGGUAAUGCAAGUCUGGAGUGAAAGGCGGGGGCCCAACCCCCGGACUGCUCUGGAAACUGUGUAACUGGAGUGCAGGAGAGGCAGGCGGAAUUCCUAGUGUAGCGGUGAAAUGCGUAGAUAUUAGGAGGAACACCAGUGGCGAAGGCGGCCUGCUGGACUGUACCUGACGUUGAGGCUCGAAAGUGUGGGGAGCAAACAGGAGUAGAUACCCCGGUAGUC